rnacentral:sRNA from 1 species
GAUGUGAGGCCUUUGCUCGGGCUGUGGGGCCGCCGUAGCUGCGGGGCUUGGGGGUCAGGAGAGCCGGCGGUGAGAGGCGGCGCCAGGGUGGGCCCUGCGCCUGCCCUUUCCGCGCAGGCUUUGCGCCCUCGUUGCCCUCGGCUCUCUAGCCAGCAGCCUGCCUCCGGCCUCCCGCCUCCGGGCGUUCUUCCUUUUCUGGCCGGACGGGCCUGGGUGAACUCUGCUGCACGUUGGCUCCGCGCGCCUUUGUCCCCGAGGCCGCGCCUGGAGCUCCCAAGCGCACUCCUGGGCCGGACCUCGGCGCGGGACAAAAGCCAAACGCCCCAGGCGGGCAGACCCCGAGCCUGCUGCGCCGCCUUCAAGGGGGACCGCCGGCCGCGAGCCAGGUUGGGAUUUGCAGUGUUGCUGGGCAGGUUCCUGGUCAAUCAGUCCUCGGGAUGGCAGCCAUCAACCCGUGGGCCUCCUGGGGUGCCCUUACGGACCAGUCUUGGGGGAUGACAGCUGUUGACCCAUGGGCCUCCUGGGGAACCAGUGACCUUCAAGGACGUGGCCGUGGACUUCACCCAAGAAG